rnacentral:rRNA from 1 species
GACAGAGGAUGCAAGCGUUAUCCGGAAUGAUUGGGCGUAAAGCGUCUGUAGGUGGUUUAUUAAGUCUACUGUUAAAGAUCAGGGCUUAACCCUGAGCAGGCAAUAGAAACUAAUAAGCUAGAGUACGGUAGGGGCAGAGGGAAUUCCCGGUGGUAGCGGUGAAAUGCGUAGAGAUCGGGAAGAACACCAACGGCGAAAGCACUCUGCUGGGCCGAAACUGACACUGAGAGACGAAAGCUAGGGGAGCAAAUGGG